rnacentral:rRNA from 1 species
AUGGCGGCAGCUACACAUGCAGUCGAACGGCAGCACAGAAGAGCUUGCUCUCUUCGGGUGGCGAGUGGCGGACGGGUGAGUAAUGUCUGGGAAACUGCCCGAUGGAGGGGGAUAACUACUGGAAACGGUAGCUAAUACCGCAUAACGUCGCAAGACCAAAGUGGGGGACCUUCGGGCCUCACACCAUCGGAUGUGCCCAGAUGGGAUUAGCUAGUAGGUGGGGUAAUGGCUCACCUAGGCGACGAUCCCUAGCUGGUCUGAGAGGAUGACCAGCCACACUGGAACUGAGACACGGUCCAGACUCCUACGGGAGGCAGCAGGCGGAAAGCACAAGGGCGAAAGCCAGAGCAGACAGACCGCCGAUAGAAGAAGGCCACGAAUUGCAAAGCACCUUAAACCAGGAGGAAGACGGCGAGGUAAGAACCACGCAGAAGCGUAGUAUGACAUGACCCACAGAAAAAGCACCCCCGAACUCCGUGCCAACAGCCGCGGUAAUACGGAGGGUGCAAGCGCUAAUCGAAAUUACUGGACGUAAAGCGCACGCAGCCGGUCUGUUAAGUCAGAUGUGAAAUCCCCGGGCUCAACCUGGGAACUGCAUUUGAAACUGGCAGGCUUGAGUCUCGUAGAGGGGGGUAGAAUUCAAGGGGAACCGGUGAAAUGCGUAGAGAUCUGGAGGAAUACCGGGGCCGAAGGCGGCCCCCUGGACGAAGACUGACGCUCAGGUGCGAAAGCGUGGGGAGCAAACAGGAUUAGAUACCCUGGUAGUCCACGCCGUAAACGAUGUCGACUUGGAGGUUGUGCCCUUGAGGCGUGGCUUCCGGAGCUAACGCGUUAAGUCGACCGCCUGGGGAGUACGGCCGCAAGGUUAAAACUCAAAUGAAUUGACGGGGGCCCGCACAAGCGGUGGAGCAUGUGGUUUAAUUCGAUGCAACGCGAAGAACCUUACCUGCUCUUGACAUCCAGAGAACUUAGCAGAGAUGCUUUGGUGCCUUCGGGAACUCUGAGACAGGUGCUGCAUGGCUGUCGUCAGCUCGUGUUGUGAAAUGUUGGGGUAAGUCCCGCAACGAGCGCAACCCUUAUCCUUUGUUGCCAGCGAUUCGGCCGGAAACUCAAAAGAGACUGCCGGUGAUAAACCGGAGCAAGAGGGGGAUGACGUCAAGUCAUCAUGCCACGAAAGGCCACCACUACUACACGCGCAAAAAAGGAACAGACAAAGAGAAGCAACACCGCAAGAGCAAGCAAAACGAAUAAAGGAAUCGCAAUCCGGAUGAAAGCGACAACUCGACUCCAUGAAGUCGGAAUCGCUAGUAAUCGUAGAUCAGAAUGCUACGGUGAAUACGUUCCCGGGCCUUGUACACACCGCCCGUCACACCAUGGGAGUGGGUUGCAAAAGAAGUAGGUAGCUUAACCUUCGGGAGGGCGCUUACCACUUGAUCGUGA